rnacentral:rRNA from 1 species
AAAAACAUAGGUUUCUGCUAAGUCGCGAGACGAGGUAUAGGAGCUGAAGCCUGCCCGGUGCUGGAAGGUUAAGGGGAGCUGUUAGAGUAAUCGAAGCAGUGAACUUAAGCCCCAGUAAACGGCGGCCGUAACUAUAACGGUCCUAAGGUAGCGAAAUUCCUUGUCGGGUAAGUUCCGACCCGCACGAAAGGCGUAACGAUUUGGGCACUGUCUCAACAACAGACUCGGUGAAAUUGUAAUUCCGGUGAAGAUGCCGGAUACCUGCGACAGGACGGAAAGACCCCAUGGAGCUUUACUGUAGCUUGACAUUGGGUCUUGGUACUACAUGUACAGGAUAGGUGGGAGGCUUUGAAACCAGGACGCCAGUUUUGGCGGAGCCAUCCUUGGGAUACCACCCUUGUAGUACUGGGACUCUAACCAUAGGCCAUGAAUCUGGUCUUGGGACACUGUCAGGUGGGCAGUUUGACU